rnacentral:lncRNA from 1 species
AGAUGUUUAAACCUCAGACAGGAUGGGGCUGGGGCUGGGCCAACAACUUGCUCAACAUUCUUCUGAGUCUGACGGGCUGGUGGAGUGUGAGCGUGGCUCCUAAAUUUCUUGGGUAGGACUGAAGAAGCACUUUUAAGAUGUGGAAACUCAGAGAGGAUGCCACUGUUUUGAACUAUUUUGAAGGCACAGCCACCAGAGCUUUAGGGACAGGGUAUUUUAUCACAGCAACAGAAAUGAAACCAAAACAACUCCACAAUAAAAUUCUUGAGUUUCUUGGGGCCAAGAAGAUGACACGAUAAGAUAAAGACACUGGCCAAGCAUGACCUCCAGAGUUUGGCCCUUGCAUAAAGGAGAAAAUUAAUUCCUUCAGUUGUUCUCUGACCUCCACAUGCGUCCUGUAACAUGGGUGUAUGCAUACACAUAAACACACAUCCACACGUUGUUAAAUAAAUAAAAAAAAUAUGUUAACA